AUGGCCAUACCAUGCUGAAUAUACCGGUUCUCGUUAGAUCACCGAAGUCAAGCAUCAUUGGGCGUGGUCAGUACUUGGGUGGGUGACCACCUGGGAACACCGCGUGCCGUU